UACGUAGGGUGCGAGCGUUAAUCGGAAUUACUGAGCGUAAAGCGUGCGCAGGCGGUGAUGUAAGACAGGUGUGAAAUCCCCGGGCUUAACCUGGGAACUGCAUUUGUGACUGCAUCGCUGGAGUGCGGCAGAGGGGGAUGGAAUUCCGCGUGUAGCAGUGAAAUGCGUAGAUAUGCGGAGGAACACCGAUGGCGAAGGCAAUCCCCUGGGCCUGCACUGACGCUCAUGCACGAAAGCGUGGGGAGCAAACAGG
rnacentral:rRNA from 1 species